GAGAUCUGAUAGCAAGCUGUACUUGUACAGCGAAGUGGUUGAUGCCAUGCUUCCAGGAAAAGUCUCUAAGCUUCAGUUACACAGGAAUCGUACCCGAAACCGACACAGGUGGUCAGGUCGAGUAGACCAAGGCGCUUGAGAGAACUCUGCUGAAGGAACUAGGCAAAAUGGUACCGUAACUUCGGGAGAAGGUACGCUGUUGUUGGUGAUGGAACUCGCUUCCUGAGCUGACGACAGCCGCAGAAACCAGGCCGCUGCAACUGUUUAUUAAAAACAUAGCACUCUGCAAACACGAAAGUGGACGUAUAGGGUGUGAUGCCUGCCCGGUGCUGGAAGGUUAAUUGAUGGGGUUAGCGUAAGCGAAGCUCUUGAUCGAAGCCCCAGUAAACGGCGGCCGUAACUAUAACGGUCCUAAGGUAGCGAAAUUCCUUGUCGGGUAAGUUCCGACCUGCACGAAUGGCAUAAUGAUGGCGGCGCUGUCUCCAGCAGAGGCUCAGUGAAAUCGAAAUCGCUGUGAAGAUGCAGUGUACCCGCGGCUAGACGGAAAGACCCCGUGAACCUUUACUGCAGCUUGACACUGAACUUUGACCUUACUUGUGUAGGAUAGGUGGGAGGCUUUGAAGCUGGAACGCUAGUUCCAGUGGAGCCGUCCUUGAAAUACCACCCUGGUAAUGUUGAGGUUCUAACUCUGUCCCGUGAUCCGGGACGAGGACCGUGUCUGGUGGGUAGUUUGACUGGGGCGGUCUCCUCCUAAAGAGUAACGGAGGAGUACGAAGGUGCGCUCAGCGUGGUCGGAAAUCACGCGUAGAGUAUAAAGGCAAAAGCGCGCUUAACUGCGAGACCCACAAGUCGAGCAGGUACGAAAGUAGGUCUUAGUGAUCCGGUGGUUCUGUAUGGAAGGGCCAUCGCUCAACGGAUAAAAGGUACUCUGGGGAUAACAGGCUGAUACCGCCCAAGAGUUCAUAUCGACGGCGGUGUUUGGCACCUCGAUGUCGGCUCAUCUCAUCCUGGGGCUGAAGCAGGUCCCAAGGGUAUGGCUGUUCGCCAUUUAAAGAGGUACGCGAGCUGGGUUUAGAACGUCGUGAGACAGUUCGGUCCCUAUCUACCGUGGGCGCUGGAAAUUUGAGAGGAUCUGCUCCUAGUACGAGAGGACCAGAGUGGACGAACCUCUGGUGUACCGGUUGUGACGCCAGUCGCAUCGCCGGGUAGCUAUGUUCGGAAGGGAUAACCGCUGAAAGCAUCUAAGCGGGAAGCCUACCUCAAGAUAAGAUUUCCCUAGGACUUUAUGUCCUCUAAAGAGCCGUUCGAGACUAGGACGUUGAUAGGUUGGAUGUGGAAGCAUAGUGAUAUGUGAAGCUGACCAAUACUAAUUGCUCGUGAGGCUUGACUAUACAACACCCAAGCAGUUG
rnacentral:rRNA from 1 species